UCGAACAUUCAUGAAUCUUCAGAAAGCUAGAAAUCCUAAUGCAUAGACAUCUAGUGAUAGUCUGGGUACAUCUAUAGUCGUACGCAUGCAUCUGGUUUUGAGAGAGACUUCUCCUGAAUGGUCAAAAUUAAAGAGAACAUAUUAAUAGUAUCAUUGUAGGAUCAAAAAUUGUAUUCCUCAGGUUGUAUGUUUGUGUGCGCGUGCGCGCUCGUGUGUGUGUGUUCUUUUCUUGUUUUUGGGGUGGGGUACAAUGCAGACAUGCAUGUUGACUUAGUUCUGUAUUUUACUGUGUAUUUGCAUAAACUGAAGAAAUAAGCCAAUGAAAAGGGUGUGAGAUAUUGCCAGUUUUUGGAUGUCUAAAGCAGUGAGCAUCUAAUCAAGGUUGUAGAUUGGUUACAUCUAAUUGACAAGAUUGUAGCGGUGGUGAUACCUUACCUCUUCAUUAGGACAUAGUCUACUGGUUGUGAGAGACAAGCGGACUGGUAAGACCAAGGGAUAUGGAUUUGUGAGUUUUUCCAACCCGUUAGACGGCUGCGGCACUUGAAGAAAUGAAUGUUACAUGAUCAGCUUUUACCUUCUUGAAGACCCAUCACUCAUAAGUGAUAGGCGUUGUCAAGGGCGGAUCUAUGUAGUGUAGAGGGGUUGUCACGCCACCCGGACGCUCAGGGAAGGCUGUGGAAACCGUCCGAUUAUACUUCGUAAGAGCAAGUAGCAAACCAUGGAUUGGUGGAAGGGAAGAAACUAGUUGUUGUUUUGGAAACUUGGGUUUUACAAGAUAUCUGAAGUUACAUACUUUCAUUAAUAUAUCGGUAUGAUCGAUAAGUGGAAGUCAUAAAAAAGAAAUCUUUCUCCUCGCACCUCAGAUCAAGAGGAAGGGUUGCUUUCUCUCGCCCUACUUCUAAAGAUAGAUAGAAAAGGUUGGAGAGAAUGACUUUCUGAAAUUCUCUCCUUUCUAAAGAAGCCUAUCGCCACGCCGACCAUCAAAUACGAGAUUGGGCCCCUUCUCAAAGAUUUGAUGGAAUGGCCUCAAACCGAACCGAAAAACCGCACCAAACCGAAAAAUCAAACCAAACCGAUUAAAAAAUCC